CGCAAUCUGAUGAUCGUAGUAUUUGUUGAAAGGUUCACUUGAAACCGCACAUGCGUCCAGCCUCUACGGGUAUCCACACGAGGCAGAGGACCAAUCCAAACUCUCUAAUCUCCCCGGGGUGCUAGCUCCCUUGCAAAGAUAUGUUUUGAUGGCUGAAAUCCUCUCUUGAUUUAUCAACUCUUUGAUAGAUCUCAAGAGAAAGAAGAAGGACUUGAAAGGGAGGAAGAAGAUCCCAUCUUGCUGCCUCCUUUUCUUUUAUUCUUGUGGAUGGAAGAAGGGUGAAGAGAGA
rnacentral:lncRNA from 1 species